rnacentral:rRNA from 1 species
AGAACGAACGCUGGCGGCGUGGAUAAGACAUGCAAGUCGAACGGGAUUAUUUUGUAGCAAUACAGAAAUAAUUCAGUGGCGAACGGGUGCGUAACACGUGGGCAAUCUGCCGAAAAGUGGGGGAUAGCUCGCCGAAAGGCGAAUUAAUACCGCAUGUGGUGAGGGACGACAUCUUCCUGAAUCCAAAGCCGGGGCAACCUGGCGCUUUUUGAGGAGCCCGCGGCCUAUCAGCUAGUUGGUGAGGUAACGGCCCACCAAGGCUAUGACGGGUAGCUGGUCUGAGAGGACGACCAGUCACACUGGAACUGAGACACGGUCCAGACACCUACGGGUGGCAGCAGUCGAGAAUUUUGCGCAAUGGGCGAAAGCCUGACGCAGCAACGCCGCGUGAGGGAUGACGGCCUUCGGGUUGUAAACCUCUUUUGUCAGGGAAGAUAAUGACGGUACCUGGCGAAUAAGCCACGGCUAACUACGUGCCAGCAGCCGC